AUACAGAUGACGAGUCCCCAAUAGGACGAAACGCGCGUCCUGGAC
rnacentral:hammerhead_ribozyme from 1 species